GCCUAGCCCCGAUUGCAGUAGAAAUCCUUUUGUGCCGGGGUUCGGCACAAAAGAUUGACACGAAAAGCGGGACAACUG
rnacentral:sRNA from 1 species